UUCCGGUUGAUCCUGCCAGAKGUUACUGCUAUCGGAGUUCGAUUAAGCCAUGCGAGUCUAAAGGUUUCUUCGGAAGCCUUGGCGGCACUGCUCAGUAACACGUGGAUAACCUGCCCUUAGGUCUGGCAUAACCCCGGGAAACUGGGGAUAAUACCGGAUAGCUCAGGGGUCGCUGGAAUGCGCCCUGAUCCAAAGCUCCGGCGCCUAAGGAUGGGUCUGCGACCUAUCAKGUUGUAGUGGGUGUAAUGUACCUACUAGCCGACGACGGGUACGGGUUGUGAGAGCAAGAGCCCGGAGAUGGAUUCUGAGACACGAAUCCAGGCCCUACGGGGUGCAGCAGGCGCGGAACCUUUACAAUGUGCGAAAGCAUGAUAAGGGAACUCCGAGUGCCAGCAUUAAAUGUUGGCUGUCCUUGUGCCUAAAACGCACAAGAUAGCAAGGGCCGGGUAAGACCGGUGCCAGCYGCCGCGGUAACACCGGCGGCCCGAGUGGUAGCCGCUAUUAUUGGGUCUAAAGGGUCCGUAGCCGGUUUGAUAAGUCCUCUGGGAAAUCUGAUUGCUCAACAAUCAGGCUGCCAAGGGAUACUGUCAAACUUGAGACCGGGAGAGGUAAGAGGUACUUCAAGGGUAGGAGUGAAAUCUUAUAAUCCUUGGGGGACCGUCUGUGGCGAAGSCGUCUUACCAGAACGGGUCUGACGGUGAGGGACGAAAGCUGGGGGCGCGAACCGGAUUAGAUACCCGGGUAGUCCCAGCCGUAAACGAUGCUCGCUAUGUGUCAGAUACGGUGCGACCGUAUCUGGUGCCGUAGGGAAGCCGUGAAGCGAGCCACCUGGGAAGUACGGCCGCAAGGCUGAAACUUAAAGGAAUUGGCGGGGGAGCACUACAACGGGUGGAGCUGCGGUUUAAUUGGAUUCAACGCCGGG
rnacentral:rRNA from 1 species